AGGGGUGUGGCUCAGUGGUGGAGCAUCUGCUUGACAUGCAAAAAGGCCCAGGUUCUAUUCCUGGCAUAUUUA
rnacentral:tRNA from 1 species